AAGUCGUAACAAGGUUUCCGUAGGUGAACCUGCGGAAGGAUCAUUAUAGAAUUAUAGGUGAGGGUUGUCGCUGGCCUCCUCGGGGGGGCAUGUGCACGCCCGAGCUCUUAAAUCCACAACACACCUGUGAACCCACCGUGGGCCCCUCGCGGGGCUUACCUUUAUAUACUCUGAAUGUCUCAUAGAACGUCGAAUUGUUUGCCUUAAAAACGCAAUCAAAUACAACUUUCAACAACGGAUCUCUUGGCUCUC
rnacentral:misc_RNA from 1 species